UUGCAAAACUUUGUCUAAAUAAAGGUGUCAUCAUGUGUCUGACAUGCCAAGGGCAUGAUGUCCUGAUUUUCUGUAUAUCAGAAAAUGGACUAUCAAUAAUAAUUUUUUGCAUGGAUUAUUGCCUUAAGUAUAAAUUUGUAUACCCACUUUAUUGGAGAUGCAUAAAGAGCAAAGGAAUAAGGUUAGAUCUGUGGUAGUUCGUUCAUUGCAGUUACCCUCACUCUUUUUCUUAAAUAUUCCUUUGGGUAUGUGGGUAUGGUCUGGGCGUAAACUGGUAACUUGAUAUGAGAGUUGAUAUGGGUUGUGCACUUUCUGUGUUUAUAAUCAUUUUCAUCUCUUGGUUUUGUAGGGAUGUGAACAUGCACUUUUAUGCCUGCAGCCCAAUGGCAUUGUUGAUCCCAAAUCUCACAUCUUUGCAGAUCUGCAAGCUAUCAAUCAAAUCAAGAAGUUGAAGGAUGUUGCUUUGGCAUUAGUUCCUUCAAAUUCUCUUCAGGCACAGACAUCCGAAUACAUGAAGAAGAAGAGAGUUCAACAGAGCAAAGAGCGUGGUUCAUGUGCAACUGAUAGAGAUUGCAUAGGAAGUUCAAUGUUCAGAAAUGGAAUUAAGAAGCGAAUCAUGUGGAAAUUGCAUGAACAUCAAAGCAUGCAGCAAGUACCGCUGAAUCAUAGUAAAGAUCAUUACAGAUCUUGAAGGGUUAUGAUAUGAAGAUCAUUUCAACAUAUUCAUGG